GUGACCUCACAGUGACUCUCCCUUGGUAGGCUGGCUCCAGACAUCACUGCACUAGAGCAGCUGUGGUGCUGUGGUGUCAUACAGAACUAUCUCUGCAAAUUGCAGGUGUUUUUGAAGAAAGAUGUCUGCAAAGGAAGCAAGUUCCGUCCUGUUUCAGUUGGCCCUGGACUGCUAACACCUGGUUAGAAACCAAGGGGAAAAAUGGACUCAUGACAGGUCAUGUGCCCUGAGGCCAUUGUUGUCUUGGUAGUCUUCUGCUGGAUUUACUCCAAAUUGCCAACAUCGCUCUUGAACCAAAGAGUCCAAAAACUUGUCACGGUAUUUCAGCUCUGAAUCAAACUAUACCUUGAGCAGGAUAGCAUACUGUCCCCUUUGGUGUAGACCAGCAAGGACAUAUGUUUUACACCUUCAAAAGGCUCAGCUCAGCUGUUUUUCUCAUUUGAAACUUCUGGGGAUUUUUGACAGGUGAGGAAAAGGUGAAUGUUUUUAUUUUCAUUUCCAUGUUUCCUAUGUUUAAUUUUCUUCAUUGUCUUUCUUUUCCUUAAUAGAGAUGAAUAAUUAAUGGAGUUUUUGCCUCCUAACUUUAUAGUACAAACUGAUGAAUCAUCACAGAUCUUUCAGUGUUACCUUUAGGGAAACAGGGAACUACCUUCAAAAAAUCUGCUAUUAUAGGUAAAUAAUUUGAUUUCUCUUCCCCAUAAAUCAUUCUUUUUUGGAAUAUAAAAUUAAAAAGAUUUCUUGACAUUUACCUACCCUUACCUAGAAAGAAAACAAAACUGAAAGACACUUCUUUUAUGUUUGCUGUACUAAAACUUUGCAUGUCUUUUCAAACUUAGAUAUGUACAAGCUUUACCUUAGUUUAAAACAAAAAUAAUAAAAAUAAGAUAAAGAAAAUACAAAGCUUUCAUGCGAAACACUGUGGGACCGAAUUUCCUUCUUUGCGCUUAGGCUGAGAUGCUGAUGAAAUGUCAAGUAGAUGAUAUCUGCCUCAUCUCUGAAUGCAAAGCUCUUGACAAAUGGAAUCUUCUUAUGUGAUGGUAUGGAGGCUUGGUUUGAACCAUAGUUCAAACCAUAGUUUCCAUAAAGUUCAGAAAGAGCUGAACUUAUUUUACUUCUGGAACUCAACAAGAAUCAUGUGGAGAUAUUAGAAUUGCCUUCCAACUUACUAUUGCAACAUUUUUGUGAAGUCAGUCUCACAGUAGUUAUUGACAAAACUCUAUUGAUGUAAAAAAACUUCCCAACUUUACAUUGCAUUAUUUAUUUCUAUUUUAUACUUACUGCUGUUCCUGUUUUACAGUAAUAUAGGAAAGUCUAUACAGUAGUAUAGGAAAGAGGUUGACACCAGUCAAGUCAGAGUUUUUCUUGCUUUUCUACCUUGUUAUUUUCAGCAGAAUAAUGGCCAUAUACUGUGAAUAGAUGACUGUAGCUCACAUAUUUGGUCAACAUGUUUCCAACUUCUCAUUCUUUCUGUUGUACUUCUGCAUAAUAUGAUUCAAAUCUACCAAUGUUAUUAUAUAGGCACCUAAUAGUAAAUAUUGUAUUCAACCCACUUUAACAUGUCCUCUCUCUUAUAAACAUUUUAAAGUUCAUUGGAGUAUCUUAUUGUUUGAUCCUUGUAGCAGGCUUUGAGGUAUGUUGAUUGGUUCAGAAGAAUGAAAACCUACUGUGUGUAUAUAUACUCUUUAGUUAUCAGACCUACUGUGCACAUAUAAUAUAUCCAGAUACAGUUAUAUAAAAGUAUUCAGUCUCUGUUGCCUUAUCAAAACUCACUUGCUUUUCCUUAUAGCAAAAAAUAGGCAGCCUUUCUGAUGGUUCAGCUCCCCUUUUAAAAAAGGUUAGUUUUUUGAAAAUGCCUUUCUGUAUGGUGUUGCAAGCCUUGUAAAGAGGUCAAUUUUCAUAGCUAUUUUGUUAAAAAUAAAUACUGAACUCAGAGCACCAAAAUAGGUCAAUGUAUUUGACAACUGAAAGGAUCUGUCACAUGUAUCAGUGGUAGUAAUUGCUAUUUAAAUUAUUUUGCUUCUUGUUAGUUAGUGGGCUUGUCUCCUACAACUGUAAAAAUGUUACGAUAACUAGACAAUGUAAAAGUUGUACUAAGAAUGUGCUCUUUUCUUUUUCUCUGAUUAUUUGAUAGGUGUAAUACGUUUUAAAGAACAGAAUGAUUUUUAUACAAUUACGCUUGUUUUUAUAACAUGCACUGCUAUUUGAGGCCUGUUUGGUACAAAACCAGACUUGUAAAAUAUAGAUUUUUGAAAAAUACUUAAUAAUAGGCAAGUUAAAACUUGCAGGAUUAGUUCAUUGCUGUGAAGAAAACUAGGAGGGAGGAAAAAAUUAGAGGGCAAGACCAGUGAAAGCAAAAUCAAGAUUGUCAGGUACAGAUGUGCUCUUGGAAUAUUUUAAUUACUGAGUGUGUGACAGUACAUAGAGCAUCGACAGAGGGUAAAAGUAAAAUGGCUAUUCUUAGUUUCCUAUUUCUGUUGUGUCACUUUUUCUAUUGAACAGAAUUUUUAAUUAGCUUUGUAGGUUUUGCUUAAUUUGUAGUGUACUUUAUCCAUUGAAUGCUGCUUUCAGGAUAUCUGGGUCACUGUUUUAUACUUGCAGAUUUUUAUCAUUUUCUCGUCAACAUUCAUAGUAGAGUUUCUCAGAACAUCAUCUACAUACUGGUUUCUAAAAUUGAGAGUUCCAUGGGUCCUAAGCACAAUGGGAACACAAGGAGAACAAGAAACUGAAAUUUUUUAAAUCACAGUGCACUUUAUCAAGAAUUACAUACCAAUCUUUAGGAAUCUUCAGUAUGAGUUGUUUGUUUCUUCUUCAGAGAUUUGGAACAAAACUGCAUUUCAGACUAGUUUUUGUUUAGAACACUGUAAGCAUAAGUAAUAUUUAAACUGAAUGUGUGGUUAGAGUCAAGAACAAACAAGGUCUGCAAGGCUUGAAACUGGUAUUUAAAACUUAUGUUUGGGGUCAGGUACAGAGGCAAGUAAGUGUCUUCCUGCUUGCUUCUAUCAUUUUUAGGUACUCAUUAAAUCAAAGACAAAAUGCACCAGGUAUACAUUAAACAACAACUUUUUUUUUUUUUUUCUUUUUUUUUUUUUACACUUCAGCAAAGCAUGUGCAUAAUAUUGUAUUUGAUUGUUACGUAGUAUGUUUUAGAUUAUGUUUUUUCUGGGUUCUAGAAAAAGAUUAAAAAAGAAGGAAUAUACUGUUAAAGAAACAACUGGAUAUUUGUAUUUUUAGAGAAUAAUAUGAAUGACUUCAUUUAAACACAAUUGAAAGACGUACUAAAGGCUGUAAGAACUGACCAGUUUAUGCCUGGGGUACAGUUACCAUUCCCUACUAGAGCUGCCCCUUUCACUCACAGCCAGCAGGCAGUGUAGUUGUGUGUUCUACAAAGCUUUAAACUACCUUCUCACUCCUGGUAACAAUAAUAUUUGGAGUCAAAAAACUUAUACUGUCCAGAAAACUUGCAGUGAUCCUAAGACAGAACAACGGUUGUCUCUUAAGUUCCUGAACACGCUCUAUGUGGUUGAUAUUUGAAUGAUAUUCCUUUGAGAAUUCGGUAAUUUUGUUUUACUGAGUCUCGUUGUGUGUUUUUGUUACUGCCUGUCCUCCUAGCUCAAAGUGUUGCUACUGGGCUGGUUCUGAAAUUUUUGUAUCUUUCAGUUACUGGUAAGUCUGGCAAUUUCUUCUUCCUUUUUUUUUAAAUAAAAUCUUGUAGUUACAGCAAUCUGUGAUUAAUUCCUUAUGUGAAGUUUAGCUUUUUUAAGUCUUUCAAAACUGGGGGAUUUUUAUGGAAAAUGAAAAAUCUCUUUCCCUAUUUUUAUUUCAACUCAACAUGUUUUGUUUUACCAACCAGGAGUUAACAACAGCCCAUUUGGAAUGGCAGAUCCUUGGCUUCAUUGUGACAGCAAACUGGGUUAAAACUACCUGCAGUCCCUCCUGAGAGAAGGACCCCUGUGCGUACACAAACUUGAUGCAGAAAUCUGAAGGAACACAGAUGUCAAAUUUCCAAUAAUUUUACUCUGUAUCCUGGAUUGGUCCUUUAAUACACGUCAAAGCAUCGCACAUGGAAUUAGAUGUUGUGAUGCUGAACAAUUGACAGGUUAAAUAUGAGGUUAGAACAACCAGAUGGUGGCUUACCUUUGUCUGGGUCUGCUGUUCCUGGACUGGGUGAAUUUCUCAUUCAGCAUAGCUAUAAUGACAGCAUUUGCUUAUCUGUCUUCCACUCCUUCCCAGCUGCCCUUGGGCAUCACAGCUCCUGGGGACACACCUGGGCCCAGGUGAGUCAGUUUUCCUUCAGCUUGGUGCUGCUGCUGUCACGGUGUGAUGGGGGUCCGUGGCUGUGGGACAGGAACAGCGUGGGUCCCGCCAGGCAGGCCAGUGAGUAUCCCACCUUUAAUUCUGGUGUCUGACAAUUUUAGCUCGUUGCAGACCACCCCAUGUUCUCCUGACUAGCAGUUCUCCUGACUUCAAAUGAACCACUGACCAAAGAAAAGUGGGUCCUAAUUACCUCAGUCCCGUUUUUUCUCUGAUAGAAUUUAAUGGGUAUGAAGUGUUACUAUCGAUUUCCAUGGGAACAGGAAAGGGCUCAUGUUAUUCAUUGCAUACUGAAAAUCCUAUGACAGUUACUGGAAGGCAAAAAGACACACUAACUCUCCUUUAAAUUGCAGGAUGAAAAUUGUGUAUUAGAACAAUUGUGCCUCAGGGUGAAUGUGUACACUUCUGCUGAAGCUACCAGCUACCCUACCAAUACCCUGCCAAUAACAAUUGGGCACUGCACUGAAUAACAGAGGAAUUAACACAAAUCCAUAAGUCAUGAGUAUAUAGUUUAGCACCCCUUCAUGCCUCAAAUCUUGCAUCCUGAAAGAUUGUAUUCACUGAAAAAAAAAAGAGCCCUUGGAUGUAUUAAAGGAGGGUUUUUUUCAUCAAAAAUUCUAAGACUAAGAUUCGCUAAAUCUGAGGACUGAGCAAUACCGAAUCAAUGUUGUGUCUGUGGUAAGAACUGGAUUUAAAAUCAUGUCAUUUGCUGGUGCUACAACUGAGGUUGCCACCCAACUUGCCACAUGCUGCUUUGAGGUAGGCAUGAAG